rnacentral:rRNA from 1 species
GACGAACGCUGGCGGCGUGCUUAACACAUGCAAGUCGAACGGAAAGGCCCUGCUUUUGUGGGGUGCUCGAGUGGCGAACGGGUGAGUAACACGUGAGUAACCUGCCCUUGACUUUGGGAUAACUUCAGGAAACUGGGGCUAAUACCGGAUAGGAGCUCCUGCUGCAUGGUGGGGGUUGGAAAGGUUCGGCGGUUGGGGAUGGACUCGCGGCUUAUCAGCUUGUUGGUGGGGUAGUGGCUUACCAAGGCUUUGACGGGUAGCCGGCCUGAGAGGGUGACCGGCCACAUUGGGACUGAGAUACGGCCCAGACUCCUACGGGAGGCAGCAGUGGGGAAUAUUGCACAAUGGGCGGAAGCCUGAUGCAGCAACGCCGCGUGCGGGAUGACGGCCUUCGGGUUGUAAACCGCUUUCGCCUGGGAAGAAGCGAGAGUGACGGUAAUGGGUAAAGAAGCACCGGCUAACUACGUG